UGAACACAGGGAAGGACAAAAGAAAG
rnacentral:piRNA from 1 species